CUAACCUGGUUGAUCCUGCCAGUAGCAUACGCUUGUCUCAAAGAUUAAGCCAUGCAUGUCUAAGUAUAAACGCUUUUAUACUGUGAAACUGCGAAUGGCUCAUUAUAUCAGUUAUAGUUUAUUUGAUGGUCCUUGCUACUUGGAUAACCGUAGUAAUUCUAGAGCUAAUACAUGCACUAAACCCCAACUUCUGG
rnacentral:rRNA from 1 species